rnacentral:rRNA from 1 species
GACGUAGGAGGCGAGCGUUGUCCGGAUUCAUUGGGCGUAAAGAGCGCGCAGGCGGCUUGGUAAGUCGGAUGUGAAAUCCCGAGGCUCAACCUCGGGUCUGCAUCCGAUACUGCCCGGCUAGAGGUAGGUAGGGGAGAUCGGAAUUCCUGGUGUAGCGGUGAAAUGCGCAGAUAUCAGGAGGAACGCUAGUGGCGUAGGCGAGACUCUGGACAGUUCCUGACGCUGAGGCACGAAGGCCAGGGGAGCAAACGGG